rnacentral:rRNA from 1 species
AUUGACCGCUGGCGGCAGGCCUAACACAUUCAAGUCGAACGAGUGGCGGACGGGUGAGUAAUUUCUGGGAAACUGCCUGAUGGAGGGGGAUAACUACUGGAAACGGUAGCUAAUCCCGCAUACCAUCGGAUGUGCCCAGAUGGGAUUAGCUAGUAGGUGGGGUAAAGGCUCACCUAGGCGACGAUCCCUAGCUGGUCUGAGAGGAUGACCAGACACACUGGAACUGAGACACGGCACAGACUCCUACGGGAGGCAGCAGUGGGGAAUAUUGAACAAUGGGCGCAAGCCUGAUGCAGCCAGGCCGCGUGUAUGAAGAAGGCCGUCGGGUUGUAAAGUACUUUCAGCGGGGAGGCGUUACCCGCAGAAGAAGCACCGGCUAACUCCGUGCCAGCAGCCGCGGUAAUAC